rnacentral:rRNA from 1 species
AGCAGUAAGGAAUAUUGGUCAAUGGGCGCAAGCCUGAACCAGCAACGCCGCGUGCGGGAAGAAGGGUUUCGGCCUGUAAACCGCUUUUCUGGGGGACGAUGAUGACGGUACCUCAGGAAGAAGUCUCGGCUAACUACGUGCCAGCAGCCGCGGUAAAACGUAGGAGGCAAGCGUUAUCCGGAUUUACUGGGCGUAAAGCGCGUGCAGGCGGUGCGAUAAGUCGUGCGUGAAAGCCCCUGGCUCAACUGGGGGAGGACGUGCGAGACUGUCGGACUAGAGGUCAGUAGAGGCAAGUGGAAUUCCGGGUGGAGUGGUGAAAUGCGUAGAGAUCCGGAGGAACCCCAGUGGCGAAGGCGGCUUGCUGGGCUGCACCUGACGCUCAGACGCGAAAGCAUGGGGAGCGAACGGGAUUAGAAACCCCGGUAGUCCAYGCCGUAAACGAUGUUCACUAGGCGCUGGGUGACUUUCGUUGCUCGGUGCCGCAGCAAACGCGGGAA